AGACCUAGACCUAAACCCUAAGAUAGAGACCUAAGAAUAAGAAAAAGCUCCCUUCUUGAAAAAUCAAAAGCGGCAGAUCUCAGCCAAAAGCAAGGAGACCCUCCAUGUCAUCGUCUUCUUCGACAAGGAGCCCAAAACAACGACCCCUUUAGCCAGCCAUCAGACCCCUAAGAUCCGUCGUUACACCCAAACACCCCCUAUCGAUUCCUCAUCUUCUCCAUUAAAAACAAUAACCAUCGCUCACACUCUCCUCCUCUCCAAGGCGUCAUUGUUCCUGGCCAAACGACCCUCACCUCGCCGGAAAACACCCCUAUCAAAGACCACCAGACCUCACGCCAACAUCAACAACACAGUCACAUAGAUCAAGGGGAAAAAACCAUCCUAUCAGCUCUCAUCUUCUUCAGCACUAACACACACACACACCCAUGAGACAAGAUCUCAGAUCAUCUUCUUAACAAAAUACCCCUAAAAAAUCUAGAGCCAUCAGAACAAACGGAGGAGCAGCCAUCUUCAACUCCACCUUAGAGAACAGAAAAAAUGAGAGGACGGACAGAGGUAGCUAGAGAGGGGAACGACCAAUUUUCAGUCUAAAACAGGGAGAACUUUAGAAGUAUGAUCCAUCUCUCUCUCUCUCUCCNAUCNNCNCNCUCNNNNNNNNNNNNNNNNNNNNNNNNNCAAUUUCAUGACUUCAAACAAGGAUGACUUAGUAGUAUGUCAUCUCUCUCUCUCUCUCUCUCUCUCUCUCUCUCUCUCUCUCUCUCUCUCUCAUUUUUCCUUCUUUUUGCUCUUUUGAACAAUGAAAAAUACACAUGAAAGAUUUUUCUUUAUUUGAACAUUAGAUCGUGAUUAAAUUUUCAGAAAACUAAACAAAGGAUUCUGUUUCUUCCGAUUCUAAUUUCAAAUUUUGAUUUCUGAAAUAAUGGAGAGUGUUUGAGGCAGUGGGAGUCCAAGGUUGAGCAUUCUGGGUUCCGGUCAUGGUUCUCGUUACUGUCCAGUUUUCCGUUAAGUUCGAAACUGGAGUUCUAAUCUGGUCAUGAAUUAAUCCUACAAGGCCACUGCUUAAUCUCAUUUUCACGUUUUCGCUUUUACUUCGUGAGCUUACGCAGAGGUUCAUUUCGUUGCCUUUUACACAAUUAUUCAAAUAUUUUGAAUAAGUUGUUUGUUUAAUUUUGUUUGAUGUGUUGUAAUUAUUCUGUUCUCAGCUGCUAGUCUGAUUUGCUUAUUUCACUUUGUUUGAAAUUAGUUUGCAAUCUCUAAGAAUGCUGAGGUAUGCUAUUCUACAGAUUAAUGCUUGUCCAUUGAAGUUAGAUUAGGAAGAGUAAUGUAAAUGGGUCGUGGGGGUGGACAACAAGAAUGGAAAAUUGUAUUUAUCAUUUUAAUUGUUUUACUUUACUUGCCUAUAUUCGCUAGGAGUAUGCUAGGCCAUCCACACUCGGGUAGGCAAUUUUUUUUUUGGAUUUUUGACAUUUGCGCGACAUAAUUACGGGUUCCAAAAAUUAAGACCAAAGUAUGUGUUUGCGCAACUUUGGGACAAACAAUCUCAAUAAUAAUAAAAUAUUAUUAAUUGUGUACACGUUCGUGUGACACGAUUACGAUUUUAAAAAUGAACACUCGUAGUUUGCUUUAGGCUUGACUUAGACUAUUAUUGUGAUUAUGUAUACGUUCGCGUAACAUAAUUGCGAAUUUAAUUCUAAAAAUUAACUCGAGGGAUGCAUUCGCGCAACUUCAACCAAAAUUUUCUUAAUAAAUAAAAAAAGCAUUAUUAAUUGUAGACACAUUCGCGUGACAUGAUUUUUGACGCGCCAAAAGAAAAAAGUAUACGUACGCGUAACUCAAUUUUUUUUUAAAUUACGAAUAAAUCAAGUGAUUAAAAGCAGUAAAAGGUAAAUGCACAUAAGUUUUAAAAUAAGUAAUUAGACCAUUUAAGCCAAUUAUAAAUUGCUAAGCGAUAGUUCUAAAACCACGGAACCUGGGAAUGCCUAACACCUUCUCCCGGGUUAACAGAAUUCCUUACUUAGAAUUUCUGGUUUGCAGACUUUUAAAUAAAGUCGAUUUUCCUCGAUUUGGGAUUUUAAAAUGAACUGGUGACUUGGGACACCAUAAAUUAUUCCAAGUGGUGAGUUUGAUAAAUUAAUUAAUCCCAUUUCGAUUAAUGUCACUUUAAUUGGAAAAACUAAUAUAUACCCUCGGGUGUAAAAAGGAGGUGUAAAAAAAGUACAGUGGAGAGGUUGGCCCAUGGAGGAGGCCACUUGGGAGACCAAGCGGGAGAUGCGGAGCAGAUAUCCUCACCUGUUUGAGACUACAGGUAUGUUUCUUGACUCGUUCGAGGACGAACGUUUGUUUAAGAGGGGGAGGAUGUGACGACCCGGCCAGUCGUCUCAUGAGUUACCGCUCUGUUUCCCCCAUUUCUUCUUCUUAUUGCUUUGUUUAUCGGUUCUAUAUGUGAUCGGGUUGGUUGGCUCGGGUUCUGAAAUGUUUUGGUAAGGUUUGAGACACUUCGUCUCUUUUGAGAAAGCUUAAGUUGGAAAAGUCAACCAGAUGUUGACUUAUGUGUUAAAGGGAUCGGAUGUGAAUCCGAUGGUUCGGAUAUCUUCGGGAGGUGAUAUAGGACUUAGUAGCGNNNNNNNNNNNNNNNNNNNNNNNNNCGGUUGAUAGGUGGGAUUUUGAUAUAGUGGUCGGAAUAGAACUUCGGGAGUUGCAGUAGUUCCGUUGUCUCAUUUGAGAUGUGUUUGCAAAAUUUCAUGUCAUUCGGACGUGGUUUGGUAGACUUUUUUAUCAAAAGCGUAAUUUAGAAGAUUUUAGAAUUCUUAGGCUUGAAUCCGAUGUGAAUUUGGUGUUUUGAUGUUGUUUUGAGCGUUCCGAAGAUUGAAACAAGUUUGAAUGAUGUUAUGGGAUAUGUUGGCAUGUUUGGUUGAGGUCCCAGGGGCCUCGGGUGAGUUUUGGGUGGUUAAGCGAACCAUUUCAUGUUGUGAAAGUUGCAGAAACUGUUGUGUGUGUGUUGCAGACAUUUAGCCUUCGCGUUCGCGAGUAGAGCCUCGCGUUCGCAAAGGGUUAGCAGGUGAGGCUGAAGAUUUGGCCUUCGCGUUUGCGAUGGAGGUCCCGCGUUCGCGAAGUGAUGGGCCAUUGAGCUACGCGUUCGUGAGAAGGGGAGUCGCGUUCGCGAUGGAGCCCAGAAGCAUCGGGUUCUCGAGAGGUCAGACGCAUUCGCGAAGGAGGAAAUGUAGUCAACGUCAGUUUGUGCUUCGCGAACGCGAGGCUUUGACCGCGUUCCCGAAGAAGAUUUUUAAUGCCUGGGCAGAAUGUUUAAAUAGCCAUUGUCUGCAAUUUUGGGGCUAACUUCCACCAUUUUUGGGCGAUUUUGAAGCUUUUUGAAGAGGAUUGAAGAGGGAUUCAAGGGGGAACACUUGGAGGUAAGAUUUAUGGACUUAAUACUCGAUCCUAAUGUGAAUUCUACCUAAUUAAUCAUGGAAUUUAAGCUUAAUAUUGAAGAACUAGGGCUUGAAAUUGUAGACCUAGAAUUUGGGAUUUAAGGGGUCGUUUGUGGUUGGAUUUUGAUACUUUUGAUAUAAAUGAACUCGGGGAGUGAUAUGGAGCCUAUUGGUGUAAAUUUUAUCGGAAUCCGAGACGUGGGCCUGGGGGGGUCGGGUUUGGCCAGUUUCGGGAUUUGUGUUGUAAUUUGAUUUUUUUCGAGUGGGCUUUUUUCCCUUAACAUAUUUUGAUGGUUUUGCACUAAUUUUGGUUAGAUUUGGAGCAUCCGGAGGCCGAUUUGAGAGGCAAAGACAUCGUGGGCUAGAGUUUGGACCGAAUUAAGGUGAGUAAUGACUGUAAAUGUUAUCCUAAGGGUAUGAAACCCCGGAUUUCACAUCGUUGUGCUAUAUUGAGGUGACGCACACGCUAGAUGACGAGCGUGAGGUCGUGCACCGUUGGGGAUUGUGACUUAGUCCAUCCCGAAUGACUGUUUUAC
rnacentral:lncRNA from 1 species